rnacentral:lncRNA from 1 species
CAGGUCCGCUGGCGGGAGCCGGGGUGUCCGGGGCGCCCUGGGCCGGGAAGCAGGGACGGACAGGUGCUGCUCCAGCCAAGGGGCAAAGUGGGGGAGGCGGGGCCGGGGCUGGCGGGGCUGCCUGACUAAGUCCCUGUCCUGCCUUUUCCCAGUCUUGGGGCUCCUCCAGUGGGUGGCCGGUCGCUGGAAAGGCAAUGAGAAUGAACAAGGCAGCUUGGCACAUAGAUGGAACCGGCCCUGCGAGAUGCUGCCGCUCAGAGACCCGGAGAAUGAUGAAGUCGCCUCUCUAGACAGGAGUAGCCCGCUGGCGGUGAGGAAGGGCUCGGCCCUGGCGCUGGAGGCCGGCACCUGCCCGGAGCCCUCCCAGGCCCCUGGGCAGAGCUGUGAGCUGCAGGAGGUGGUGGCCGAGGGAGGGCCAGCAGCCCCAGAGCGGAUGCUGCAGACGGAGGCUCCCGAGGCCUAGGGAGCCCAGGCCCAGGCGGAGGUGUCGGCCUCCCUGGAGCAGCUGGAGCAGGUACGGGCUGGUCUGGGGACGCUGGAACAGCCUCUCGAACUCCACCCCCGGGCGCAGAGGACGUCCCUGUGCCUCCAGGAAUGGGCGCAAACUCUUCCUUUGCGGCUUUGUUUUUUGCAGCCACCGAGAGGGUCUACUGUGAGUUCGGACGUAAGGUUCCAGAAAGCAGCUGGAAGAUGUUUCGGGACUUAAUUGGACUUGAAGGAGACGACAAACACCCAGGGCCUUUGGAAGAGCUCCUUAGCGGAGGAGGGAGCAAGGGAGGGACGUUCCUACUUGUAAACUCACGGCUGGCCUCCAUGUAAUGCAGCUGCAUGUAUAUUUGCAAAAUAUUGUCGGUGAUUUGGUUGCUGCUAAUACCUUACCUGGGCGUGCAGAGAUGCCCCAGUGAGCUCCACUGGGGGCCUGUCCGCAGGGUGCUGGAUGCCUAGGGUCCGAGCUGCCUUUGCAGUCCUGAUCCCAUCCCAGAUGUACUUUCUUUUGUUUUGUUUUGUUUGUUUUGUCUUUUGUCUUUCUAGGGCUACACCCAUGGCCUGUCGGGGUUUCUAGGCUAGGGCUCUAAUCAGAGCUGUUGCUGCCGGCCUCCUUUUCUCUCCUACAGACUAUGGAGAUGGCUUCCUGUCAAAGUUUGCUUUCCUUCUAGUUUAGGCCAAUCCAUUCAGCCUCCACAGGGCAACUGGGAUGCGAGUACUAAUCACAAUUCCAGUCAAUCUGCUGCAUCUCUGCCGUGCUUGACUUUGUUUCAAGAAGCCCCAGCCCUAGCCCGUGUCCCAAGCCCCAGGCUCAACAGGGCUGCUCCACAUUUCCUGGCGUCACACUGGAUUACUUGGUGGCUGGCUCCUGUUGGGGUCACUUUCAGGACAGUCCCCUCUGCAUAGAAUCCACUUCCCAUCUGGCCGCAGUGUUCCUCUGGAAGCCUCCUUCCAACUGGUCCUUCCUCCCUGGCCCU